UCCCAUAGCUUGGGAUUAAAUGGGUCCACAUCAUAAACAUACUUUUUUUUUUUUUUUUUUUUAAUUGUGCUUGCAGUUUUAGAAAUUAAAGAAGCAACAAGAAAAACAAGUCAGUACUUCCUCAUACAGCAAGCUCUACAGGCUAAGUUUAGCCACAUGCUGUUGACUGUGGACUCUCUAUUACUGAGCUGCUGUGUCCAGACACCAGCUGUUCCAUCUGGACCCAAGCCACUUGCAGAUCCACUACACCCGUCACAGCUGGAGCCCUGCCUUGCAGCCUGAUGAUGUUGAUUUAGUUCUCUCACUCUGCCGUGAUGGGCCCGACUGCUGUGCAUCCCUUACUUAUGUUUGAUGCUUGAAAUGUUUAACUUUCUUUAAUCAUGCCCCAUAUAUUGACGUGCUUUUGUCAAAACAUAAGCCAAUAAUGUGACCUGUGAGAAUUUUAUUGAUGUCAAUAUAGACUAUAUUAUACAAUUGUAUUUAUUAUAUAAAAUCCUUUACUCAAAGGAG